rnacentral:rRNA from 1 species
AGAGUUUGAUCAUGGCUCAGAUUGAACGCUGGCGGCAGGCCUAACACAUGCAAGUCGAGCGGAUGAGUGGAGCUUGCUCCAUGAUUCAGCGGCGGACGGGUGAGUAAUGCCUAGGAAUCUGCCUGGUAGUGGGGGACAACGUUUCGAAAGGAACGCUAAUACCGCAUACGUCCUACGGGAGAAAACAGGGGACCUUCGGGCCUUGCGCUAUCAGAUGAGCCUAGGUCGGAUUAGCUAGUUGGUGAGGUAAAGGCUCACCAAGGCGACGAUCCGUAACUGGUCUGAGAGGAUGAUCAGUCACACUGGAACUGAGACACGGUCCAGACUCCUACUGGAGGCAGCAGUGGGGAAUAUUGGACAAUGGGCGAAAGCCUGAUCCAGCCAUGCCGCGUGUGUGAAGAAGGUCUUCGGAUUGUAAAGCACUUUAAGUUGGGAGGAAGGGCAGUAAGCUAAUACCUUGCUGUUUUGACGUUACCGACAGAAUAAGCACCGGCUAACUUCGUGCCAGCAGCCGCGGUAAUACGAAGGGUGCAAGCGUUAAUCGGAAUUACUGGGCGUAAAGCGCGCGUAGGUGGUUCAGCAAGUUGGAUGUGAAAGCCCCGGGCUCAACCUGGGAACUGCAUCCAAAACUACUGAGCUAGAGUACGGUAGAGGGUGGUGGAAUUUCCUGUGUAGCGGUGAAAUGCGUAGAUAUAGGAAGGAACACCAGUGGCGAAGGCGACCACCUGGACUGAUACUGGCACUGAGGUGCGAAAGCGUGGGGAGCAAACAGGAUUAGAUACCCCGGUAGUCC